CCUUGUUGUAGUAGACAGUCGGGAAGUCGUCGUGCUAAGGCCCCAUAGGACUAGUGCACUAGACCAACAACCAUUGCAGAUAGAGAAAGUCGUAGAUCAGAAGAAUCAAAUAUGUAAACACCCAAAUGAAGACGAAUGAAGAAUGAAUCCAAAUAGAACCACUGAAGACAAGCACCGACCGAAUCUCGUGAAAUCCGACGGAGAUACAUCUCCACACGCUUCCGACGAUGCUAGACACAUCAUUGUAACGAGGAUAGAAUAUGAGAGACAUUAUUCCUAUUGAGGGACAUCGCUGCCGCCACAUAGCCCCAACCAUGACGCUGAAUCUAAAAAAACUAGAACAGGGUCCCUCCCGUCAGCGGGGGGCCGAAGUCAGGGGGAUCCACAUAAGGUCAUGGGUGGACAGUUGUACACCCAAAAAAUUUGGCCACAAAACUUCAUAUACUGGUGUAUAUUAGGUAUAUGUGUCAACAGUGGUGCAGUUUGAGCAAUAAACAUCAUGUUGAUUCAUAUAAGCCGUCCGAGUCAACAAGCAUCUCGAUUUCAUACUCAUGCACAACCCAAUUGGCCGGCACAGCUGGCUUGGUUCCCUUUCACUACCUCUCCAACCCAGUUACCGUCACUAAUUUUACCCAGUAUUACAUGAGUCGUUGACGCGCGCCAUAUCAUCAUUGUUAGUACACGAUUUGCUACAUUUUCUGUGCUUGACUUUUCCCGCAGCUAAAGAAAAAAUGUACUAUUGCACAGUAGAUGAUCUUCAUUUUUUCUCAUUUCUUUAAGCUAUUUUAGGUAUUGCUACUGUGAUAGGUAAAAAAGCUCUCUUGCUAUGUGAACAUUUUAGAAAUCAUGUUGGAUUUUUUUUGCGAGGGUAAAGGGAGUUUUAUUGCAAAAUCAUAGAGUUACAGUCGAGAGGCCAUACAUCCUCAAUACAAGGAGGAACUGAGCGAAGCCAGACAGCGGUAGCUCGCUCCGUGCGGCUAUAGUUUGCCAAACGAUCGGCGACUCUAUUCUGAGAACGAAUAAGUUCCUGAGGAACAAACUCCCUAUUACCAGAUAAGUACUUGAUCUCCAAUACUAAGUGGCCAUAAGCUGAACGCUGGAGAGCAUCCGUAGACAGGCAUAACAACGCUUCAGAGGAAUCUGAUUGCAGUAUGACCGGAGCAUCGGAAUGCUCAAUAGCCAGCGCCAUGCCUUGCAUCAUCGCAUGUAGCUCCGUCUCCAGAGAAAAUCAUUGCAGUGAAAGAUAUAUCUGUACGCUGCAAAGAGAAUCACCCCUUCGUGGUUUCUUAGGACCAUCCCAGCCGCCGCAGAGCCAUCCCCCGGAUGGAACGAACCAUUGACGAACAGGGCCACUGAACCUUGUGGCGGUGCCGGCCACGGCGAGGUAGUCGUUGAAGAUUCUUGGCGCGGCCAUGCAGGGGCACCCAAGGGCAUUUUUCCUUUAACAAUCUCCUCUACUGUGAACUUGCCCGCCAGGUUGAUAGAUUUAUAGUAGCUAUCCAAGAACUCUACCGAGGCCAGCACAUGUGGGGCUUCAUUACCAUGGUAUAUGUCGUUACGGAUCUGCCAUAUCCUCCAAAUCAACAAAAUCACCAUGUCUGCGACCGCCUCAGAGCAAGAGUUGAGAAGGAACAAGAGCCAUUCCUUCCCGUUAUCGAUAAGAGCAUCAUCAUUAGGCAGCGGCCAUCUUCUACGCAUGUUAAUCCACAAGAUCCUCGCCUGCGUACAUGCAAUCAGAGCAUGAAAAGUAGUCUCCUCCUCUACACCACAAAGAGGGCAUAGAGAUCGUGUCGCCAAGUGCCUCUGAUUUUUGCACCGUUGAGUUGCCAGUGUGCCGGUUGCUACUCUCCAUGCAUUGAUUUUCAUCUUCUGAGGUACAUUAGACAACCAAAUACGGUUACAAACUGAGUGGUGACCCUCCGGAUCUGUACUAGAAGAUCCAUUCGCAAAAGUGACGUUAUGAUCGUUGAUACGUCUCCUUCGUAUCUACUUUUCCAAACACUUUUGCCCUUGUUUUGGACUCUAACUUGCAUGAUUUGAAUGGAACUAACCCGGACUGACGCUGUUUUCAGCAGAAUUGCCAUGGUGUUAUUUAUGUGCAGAAACAAAAGUUCUCGGAAUGACCUGAAACUCCACGGAACUUAUUUUCGGAAAAUAUAAAAAAUACUGGCAGAAGAAUCCACGUCAGGGGGCCUCCACCUGUCCACGAGGGUGGGGGGCGCGCAUGCCCCCCUGGGCGCGCCCCCCUGCCUCGUGGGCCCCCUAUUUCUCCGCCGACCUCAACUUCAACUCCAUAUAUUCGUGUUCGGGGAGAAAAAAAUCAGAGAGAAGGAUUCAUCGCGUUUUACGAUACGGAGCCGUCGCCAAGCCCUAAAACCUCUCGGGAGGGCUGAUCUGGAGUCCGUUCGGGGCUUCGGAGAGGGGAAUCCGUCGCCGUCGUCAUCAUCAACCAUCCUCCAUCACCAAUUUCAUGAUGCUCACCGCCGUGCGUGAGUAAUUCCAUCGUAGGCUUGCUGGACGGUGAUGGGUUGGAUGAGAUUUAUCAUGUAAUCAAGUUAGUUUUGUUAGGGUUUGAUCCCUAGUAUCCACUAUGUUCUGAGAUUGAUGUUGCUAUGACUUUGCUAUGCUUAAUGCUUGUCACUAGGGCCCGAGUGCCAUGAUUUCAGAUCUGAACCUAUUAUGUUUUCAUGAAUAUAUGUGAGUUCUUUAUCCUAUCUUGCAAGUCUAUAGUCACCUACUAUGUGUUAUGAUCCGGCAAUCCAGAAGUGACAAUAAUCGGGACCACUCCCGGUGAUGACCGUAGUUUGAGGAGUUCAUGUAUUCACUAUGUGUUAAUGCUUUGGUUCGGUACUCUAUUAAAAGGAGGCCUUGAUAUCCCUUAGUUUCCAUUAGGACCCCGCUGCCACGGGAGGGUAGGACAAAAGAUGUCAUGCAAGUUCUUUUCCAUAAGCACGUAUGACUAUAUUCGGAAUACAUGCCUACAUUACAUUGAUGAAUUGGAGCUAGUUCUGUGUCACCCUAUGUUAUGACUGUUACAUGAUGAACUGCAUCCGGCAUAAUUCUCCAUCACAUAUCCAAUGCCUACGAGCUUUUCACAUAUUGUUCUUCGCUUAUUUACUUUUUCGUUGCUACUGUUACAAUCACUACAAAACCCAAAAAUAUUACUUUUGCUACUGUUACCGUUAUUUCCAUAUUACUUUGCUACUAAAUACUUUGUUGCAGAUACUAAGUUAUCCAGGUGUGGUUGAAUUGACAACUCAACUGCUAAUACUUGAGAAUAUUCUCUAGCUGCCCUUGUGUCGAAUCAAUAAAUUUGGGUUGAAUACUCUACCCUCGAAAACUGUUGCGAUCCCCUAUACUUGUGGGUUAUCAAGACUAUUUUCUGGCGCCGUUGCCGGGGAGCAUAGCUCUAUUCUUUGAGUCACUUGGGACUUAUAUCUGCUGAUCACUAUGAAGAACUUGAAAGACGCAAAAACAAAAAUUUAUCCCUCAACUACGAGGGGAGGUAAGGAACUGCCAUCUAGCUCUGCACUUGAUUCACCUUCUGUUUUGAGUAAGCUUGCGACACCUAAACCUGCUUCUGCUAUUCAUUCUGAUAUGUCGCAUGUUAUUGAUGAUGUCACUUCUGCUAUGCAUGAUACUUAUGAUGAAACUACUUCUAUGCUUGAUACUACUGUGCCACUUGGUGAAUUUCUUGAUGAACAACUUGCUAGGGCUAGAGAGAAUGAAAGUAUUGAAACUGAUAAUAUUGAUGAUAGUGAUGAUGAAGACUCUCCCCCUAAUAAAUAUGAAUUACCUGUUGUUCCGGAGGGUUACGUUAUGGAUGAAGAAGCUACUAGAGCUAUUUUAGCUUGCAAUGAUAGAUAUGAUCUUAAGAAGUUAUUAGCUAAAUGGAAGCAGCAAUCUCUUAAUGCUAGAAUGAAACCUGGCCCUGCUUUUGCUACUUCACCUAUCUGUGUUACUGAUAAGGAUUAUGAAUUCUCUGUUGAUCCUGAUAUAAUUACUUUGGUUGAAUCUGAUCCUUUUAUGGCUAUGAAUUUGAAACUGUUGGGGCACAUCUUACUAAAUUAAAUGAUAUAGCCACCCUGUUCACUAAUGAUGAGAGAACUCGCUACUUUUAUAUCCUUAAAAUAUUUCCGUUCUCAUUAAAGGGUGAUGCUAAGAUAUGGUUUAAUUCUCUUGAUCCUGGUUGUGUGCGUAGUCCCCAGGAUAUGAUUUAUUACUUCUCUGCUAAAUAUUUCCCUGCUCAUAAGAAACAAGGUGCUUUAAGGGAUAUAUACAACUUUGUGCAAACUGAAGAAGAGAGUCUCCCACAAGCAUGGGGGAGGCUUCUCCAAUUACUUAAUGCUUUGCCUGAUCAUCCUCUUAAGAAAAAUGAAAUACGUGAUAUCUUUUAUAAUGGACUAACCAAUGCUUCCAGAGAUUACCUGGAUAGUUGUGCUGGUUCUGUUUUCAGGGAAAGAACACCGGAUGAAGCUGAAAUUCUAUUGAAUAAUAUGUUGACAAACGAAAAUAAUUGGACACUUCCUGAGCCAACUCCUGAGCCUAUUCCUCAACCAACUCCGAAGAAGAGGGGUGUUCUAUUUCUCAGUCCUGAAGAUAUGCCAGAGGCAAAGAAAUCUAUGAAAGAAAAAGGUAUUAAAGCUGAAGAUGUUAAGAAUUUACCUACUAUUGAAGAAAUACAUGGUCUUAAUUUACCGCCUGUUGAAGAAAUACAUGAUCCUAAUCCAUUACCUAUUGAAGAAACUCAUGGUCUUGAUAACUCGACACAGGUAGUAAAGGUAAAUUCUCUCUAUAGGUUUGAUGAAGGUGAUAUUCCUCGUUAUAAGUCUGCUAGACAAUGCUUAGAUGAGUUUGACAAUUUUAUUGUUAAACAAGAAAACUUCAAUGCUUAUAUUGGUAGACAAUUGAAAUAUAAUUCCGAUACGCUUGAAUACUUGGGUGAUUAUAUGUCCAGAGUUAAAGGUGAACUUAAACUUAUUAGUAAACAUGCUUCUAUGGUUACCACUCAAGUAGAACAAGUACUUAAAGCUCAGAACGAUUUGCUCAAUGAAUUGAAUAGUAAGAACAAUGACUAUGUUGUUAGAGUGGCUACUAGAACUGGUAAAAUGACUCAGGAACCUUUGUAUCCUGAAGGCCAUCCUAAGAGAAUUGAGCAAGAUUCUCAGAGAAAUAAUUUAGAUGCACCUAGUCCUUCUAAAUAGAAGAAAAAGAAAAAUGAUAGGACUUUGCAUGAUUCUAGUGAACCUAUUGCUGAACCACCUGAGAAUCCUAAUGAUAUUUCUAUUUCUGAUGCUGAAACACAAUCUGGUAAUGAACAUGAACCUAGUGAUAAUGUUAAUGAUAAUGUUCAUGUUGAUGCUCAACCUAGCAAUGAUAAUGAUGUAGAAAUUGAACCUGCUGUUGAUCUUGAUAACCCACAAUCAAAGAAUCAACGUUAUGAUAAGAGAGACUUUGUUGCUAGGAAGCACGGUAAGGAAAGAGAACCAUGGGUUCAGAAACACAUGCCUUUCCCCCCAAACCAUCCAAGAAAAAGGAUGAUGAGGAUUUUGAGCGCUUUGCUGAAAUGAUUAGACCUAUCUUCUUGCGUAUGCGUUUGACUGAUAUGCUCAAAAUGAAUCCUUAUGCUAAGUACAUGAAAGAAUCUGUUACUAAUAAAAGAAAGAUACCGGAAGCUGAAAUUUCCACCAUGCUUGCUAAUUACACUUUUAAAGGUGGAAUACCAAAGAAACUUGGAGAUCCAGGAGUACCAACUAUACCAUGCACCAUUAAAAGAAAUUAUGUUAAAACUGCUUUGUGUGAUCUUGGAGCCGGUGUUAGUGUUAUGCCUCUCUCUUUAGAUCGUAGACUUGACUUGAAUAAGUUGACACCUACUAAAAUAUCUUUGCAAAUGGCUGAUAAAUCAACUGCUAUACCUGUCGGUAUCUGUGAGGAUGUGCCUGUUGUGGUUGCAAACGUUACUAUUUUAAUGGACUUUGUUAUUCUUGAUAUUCCCGAGGACGAUAGUAUGUCUAUUAUUCUUGGAAUACCCUUUUUGAACACUGCAAGGGCUGUUAUUGAUUGCAACAAAGGCAAUGUCACUUUUCAUGUUAAUGGUAAUGAGCAUACGGUACACUUUCUGAGGAAACAACCUCAAGUUCAUAGUAUCAACUCUAUUGGAAAAAUUCCAUCGAUUAUAUUUGGAGGUUUUGAAUUUCCUCUUCCUACUGUCAAAAAGAGAUAUGAUAUUCUUAUUAUUGGGGACGUGCAUAUCCCCGUUGAGGUAACAUAGUGUUAUUCGAAAUUUCUCCGGUUCCAUGUUAUUCGGAAUGAGUUUGUUAACAAGACUUGAUCAACCUUGUUAGUGGAUUCCUUUUGAUGAGCAUGAGAUGGAUGAAAUUAGAAGUUACAACCUUCUGUACCCUCUCUCUACUUUCUGUUAUUUAGUUGAAAUAAAGUAAAAAUAGUAUUUUUCUGUCAGUUUUCUGAAUUAUCCAUGCAAUAUAAAAAUACCCUGAAAAUAAAAGUUCUCCAAAUGCCCUGCCAAUUUAAUAUGAUUUUUUCUGGAAUAUUCGAGAAUAUCUGGCAGCGAGAACACAACAGGGGGAGCAAGCACCUGGCCACGAGGGUCCAGGGCGCGCCCACCCCUACAGGGCGCGCCCCCUGCCUCGUGGGCCCACGAUGGCUCCCCUCCACUUAUUCCUACACCCACACACUUCUUCUUCCUCCCAAAAAAAUCACCAUCCAGCUCAAGCACGAGUUCUAGCUCAUUUUGCUGCGAUUUUCGAUCUCCUUGCUCAAAGCACCUCUCACAAAACUGCUUUGGGAGAUCGUUCCUUGGUAUGUGACUCCUCCAUUGGUCCAAUUAGUUUUUGUUCUAGUGCUUUAUUAAUUGCAAAUUUGUGCUGCCUAGGUGACCAUGUUCUUGAGCUUGCAUGUCAAAUUUAUAUGGUUCCAAGUAGUUCUAAUGCAUGAUAUAGUCUCUAGGCGCUUGUAGGAGUAGUUGCUAUCAAUUUUGUUGAGCUUGGUUUACUUUUAUUUGAAGUUACUAAAAAUUUCAGAAUUUUUCAGAAAAUAAUGAAGAGAUUUUUGAGGGGCUCAUCGAGCCGAAGCUCGAAGGAAAAGCAAAGUGAGGAAGCAGAGAGGCCCAAAUAUAAUUUACCUCACACCGCGGAGGUUCGGCCAUGUGAAUGGCCUUCCGAUGAUUUCUUGAGAGCAGUCGGGAUUUAUGAUGAUUUUUAUGAAUUGGCCGAGAAUGCAGGCCUCACCGACUUCCUCCGCGACCAGCGCGAACAGUAUCUCUUACUCACCAAUACUUUUGUGCAAAACUUCUACUAUUAUCCUAAGGAACCACCUCCUUCAGUAGAGUUUCAUUUAUAUGAUGCGGUCAAGAAGAUGCCACUAGAUGAAUUUUGCAGGGUUUGCAAAAUACCUUUCGAGGGUAGUUUAGAGGAACCACAUCAUAAAGAUGUGGACGGGUUUAUUGACACUAUUACUGUAGGGGAAACUAGGAAGGUUUCCGAUGCAAGAAUCACUAGCGUACAUUUUCCUGUUUUACGCUACUUUGCCAUAUUUGCUAGUUGUUGCUUAAUUGGCCGCGGAAACUUUGGAAACCUUAGUGUUCCUCAUAUUAUUAUUUUGUUCCAUGGUUUAUUUUGUGAUGACUCUAUUAGUAUGGGCGGUAUUAUUGCUAAACGGUUAAGUCUGAACCGUACAAAGGGCCCCAUCUUUGGAGGUGUCUAUGCUUCACGCCUUGCUGCAUAUUAUAACAUACCUAUUAGGCACUAUGAAAAAGAAGAAAAAUUGCUGCCCACUGUUUAUUUAAAUUAUAAGAGUAUGGUAGCGCAUUACUUUAUUGUUAAGAAUAGGGAAGGGGCGCUUAAAUACAAAUUGUUCUUUGAUAAACAUCACCCUGAGACUAUUACCUUGCCUGCUCCUUCCUUGUUUGAUUUAUCUGCAGGUCCGUAUCUCGUUCCGCUGGCGGCCAUUCACGCCUACCGGAACCCUACAUCAGCCACAGAGCCGGAGCCGGAACCACAAUUUGAACCUCCACGACAGUCUAAUUACCAGUGGGAUCCGGAGAUGAUUGCCAACCAGUGGCAAUCAGAGUCUUCUUCAUCUCAGUACGACACCAACUACAACUUUGGAUAUCCGCCAGGCCAUCCGUGGCAAUAAAACAACUUAGGCCAAAAGCCUAAGCUUGGGGGAGUACGUAUUUCUCACCGACAUUACAUUCAUGUUCACACACUCAUUGCUAGAUGUCGGUGCUCAUAGUUUUUCUCUGUAAUAUCCAUGCUAGUUUAUUUUCUUUUUACGUUUUUUUUUCUUGUGUGUUUAAUAAACCUUAAGAAAAACCAAAAAAAAUAGUUGUAGCUUUUAGCUAGUUUACUUUUAUUGCUGUAGUAGUAAUAAUUAAAAAGAAAACCCAAAAAUAUUUCCCGUUCUUCUUUUGCUUGUUGGGAGCUUUCCCGUGUAAAUAGUUUUUUUCCUUUGGGGGUCGAUAGGAGAAGACCAUGGUUAAAUUGUUGAGGUGGCUCUUUUAUGCAUUAUUGUUGAUUUAACCAAGAGCCCAUAUUGCCUUGUCUUCUCCUGUUUAUUGAAUGCUCGCAGAUUCCAGGUUAGUCCAAUGCACGUGCACUGUUAUCAUUAUUCACUUCGUUCGGUCGUGCAAGUGAAAGGCAAUUAUGACGAUAUAUGAUGGACUGACUGAGAUGAGAGAAGCUAGUAUGAACUCGACCUCUUUUGUUUUUGUAAAUAUGAUUAGUUCAUCGUUCCUGAUUCAGCCUAUUAUGAAUAAACAUGUUUGCAAUGACAAUUAGAGAUUAUAGUUUCUUAUGCCAUGCUUAAUUAGCUAGGAGUUUAUAAUGGUUUACCUUGUGUGCCAACAUGCUAUUAAAAUGGUUGUGAUGUGGUAUGAUGGGGUGGUAUCCUCCUUUGAAUGAUUUAAGUGACUUGACUUGGCACAUGUUCACACAUGUAGUUGAAACAAAUCAACAUAGCCUUCACGAUAUUUAUGUUCAUGGUGGAUUAUAUCCUACUCAUGCUUGCACUCAAUGUUUAUUAAUUUUAAUGCAUGUUCAUGACUGUUGUCGCUCUCUAGUUGGUCGCUUCCCAGUCUUUUGCUAGUCUUCACUUGUACUAAGCGGGAAUACUGCUUGUGCAUCCAAUCCCUUAAACCCCAAAGUUAUGCCAUAUGAGUCCACUAUACCUUCCUAUAUGCGGUAUCUACCUGCCGUUCCAAGUAAAUUUGUAUGUGCCCAACUCUAAACCUUCAUAUGAAAUUCUGUUUUGUAUGCUCGAAUAGCUCAUGUAUCAACUAGGGAUGUCUGUAUCUUCCAUGCUAGGCGGGUUAUUCUCAAGAGGAGUGGACUCCGCUCCUCACUCACGAGAAAAUGGAUGGUCACCGGGAUGCCCAGUCCCAUGCUUUAUGCAAACUAAAUCAAAAUAAUUGCAAACAAAACUCCCCCUGAGACUGUUGUUAGUUGGAGGCACUCGUUGUUUCGAGCAAGCCAUGGAUUGAUGCUUGUUGGUGGAGGGGGAGUAUAAACUUUACCAUUCUGUGUGGGAACCGCCUAUAAUGUGUGUAGCAUGGAAGAUAUCGCCAUCUCUUGGUUGUUAUGUUGACAAUGAAAGUAUGCCGCUCAAAAUAUUAUCUAUCUCUGAUUUAAAAUCGAGCUCUGGCACCUCUACAAAUCCCCUAUCUAUUACUUUUAUGUUGAGUCAUCACCCUCUUAUUAAAAAGCACCAGCUGGACAGCACCGCUGUCAUUUGCAUUCAUUACUAUUAAUUUAUAUUGGGUAUGACUAUGACUGGAUCUCUUUUACCAUGAAUUACAAUGUCUAGUCAGUCCUUGAUCUUUAAAGGUGCUCUGCAUUUAUGUUUUGCGGUCUUAGAAAGGGCUAGCGAGAUACCAUCCUGUUAUAUCAUAUUAUGAUUGUUUUGAGAAAGUGUUGUCAUCCGAGAUUUAUUAUUAUUGCUCGCUAGUUGAUUAUGCCAUUGACAUGAGUAAACAUGAGACCUAAGUGUUAUCGUGAAUAUGGUUAGUUAUAACCUUUGCUGAAAACUUGAAUGCUGGCUUUACAUAUUUACAACAACAAGAGCAAAUAGAGUUUGUAAAAGUUUUGCUUUAUCACUUUCAGUUUAUCAACUGAAUUGCUUGAGGACAAGCAAAGGUUUAAGCUUGGGGGAGUUGAUACGUCUCCGUCGUAUCUACUUUUCCAAACACUUUUGCCCUUGUUUUGGACUCUAACUUGCAUGAUUUGAAUGGAACUAACCCGGACUGACGCUGUUUUCAGCAGAAUUGCCAUGGUGUUAUUUAUGUGCAGAAACAAAAGUUCUCGGAAUGACCUGAAACUCCACGGAAUGUCUAUUUGGAAAUAAUAAAAAAUACUGGAAGAAGAAUCCACGUCAGGGGGGCCUCCACCUGUCCACGAGGGUGGGGGGCGCGCAUGCCCCCUGGGCGCGCCACCCUGCCUCGUGGGCCCCCUAUUGCUCCGCCGACCUCAACUCCAUAUAUUCGUGUUCGGGGAGAAAAAAAUUAGAGAGAAGGAUUCAUCGCGUUUUACGAUACGGAGCCGCCGCCAAGCCCUAAAACCUCUCGGGAGGGCUGAUCUGGAGUCCGUUCGGAGCUUCGGAGAGGGGAAUCCGUCGCCGUCGUCGUCAUCAAGCAUCCUCCAUCACCAAUUUCAUGAUGCUCACCGCUGUGCGUGAGUAAUUCCAUCGUAGGCUUGCUAGACGGUGAUGGGUUGGAUGAGAUUUAUCAUGUAAUCAAGUUAGUUUUGUUAGGGUUUGAUCCCUACUAUCCACUAUGUUCUGAGAUUGAUGUUGCUAUGACUUUGCUAUGAUUAAUGCUUGUCACUAGGGCCCGAGUGCCAUGAUUUUAGAUCUGAACCUAUUAUGUUUUCAUGAAUAUAUGUGAGUUCUUGAUCCUAUCUUGCAAGUCUAUAGUCACCUACUAUGUGUUAUGAUCCGGCAACCCCGAAGUGACAAUAAUCGGGACCACUCCCGGUGAUGACCGUAGUUUGAAGAGUUCACGUAUUCACUAUGUGUUAAUGUUUUGGUCCGGUACUCUAUUAAAAGGAGGCCUUAAUAUCCCUCAGUUUCCAUUAGGACCCCGCUGCCACGGGAGGGUAGGACAAAAGAUGUCAUGCAAGUUCUUUUCCAUAAGCACGUAUGACUAUAUUCGGAAUACAUGCCUACAUUACAUUGAUGAAUUGGAGCUAGUUCUGUGUCACCCUAUGUUAUAACUGUUACAUGAUGAACCGCAUCCGGCAUAAUUCUCCAUCACCGAUCCAAUGCCUACGAGCUUUUCACAUAUUAUUCUUCGCUUAUUUACUUUUCCGUUGCUACUGUUACAAUCACUACAAAACCCAAAAAAUAUUACUUUUGCUACUGUUACCAUUACUUCCAUAUUACUUUGCUACUAAAUACUUUGCUGCAGAUACUAAGUUAUCCAGGUGUGGUUGAAUUGACAACUCAACUGCUAAUACUUGAGAAUAUUCUCUGGCUCCCGUUGUGUCGAAUCAAUAAAUUGUGGUUGAAUACUCUACCCUCAAAAACUGUUGCGAUCCCCUAUACUUGUGGGUUAUCAAUCGUAUGUGGCCAACUUGUACACGCUCCUUACCAUGAAAACUCCAGUCUUCCCCGGGAACCAUGAGAUAAAAUCAUCGCAGUUCCGGGGAGAAGUCCUUAUUUUUAAUAUAUAGUCCACAUCCAUAGGCCAAAAGAUCUCCCGCAGGCGAUCAACACGCCAAGCACCAUUGUCAUCGAUAAAAUCCACCACCCGGUUCAGCCGACAAUUCCCCUUAGGUGUGAUAGGGAGAAACGUCGACGGCCGAGGGAUCCAGGGGUCCCUCCAUGUGCGAAUAUCAGCUCCAUUGCCAACCCUCCAGAUGACACCUCUCUUCAGCAGCUCGAGACCAUGUAAGAUACCCUUCCACACUGAAGAACUGUUGCCUGAGAACGACGUGUCCAACAGUUGUCCCGAAGGGAACUAUCUUGCUUUCAUAAGACGAGCACAGAGGCUGUCCGGCGUGCCUAUUAGGCGCCAAGCUUGUUUGGCCAACAAUGCUUGAUUAAAUGCCCUCAUAUCCUUAAAUCCCAUGCCACCCAUAGGUUUAGGUAGCCCCAAUCUGUCCCAACUCAUCCAGGCCAUCUUCUUCUUCCCGUUUUCAACUCCCCACCAAUAUUAACAGAUCAUACGACUCAUCUCGUCACAAACCGAAGCAGGGAGCUUGAAGACACUCAUGACAUAAGUAGGCAGGGCUUGUGCCACAGCCUUGAUCAAAAUCUCCUUGUUGCCGGAGGACACAUAUUGCUCACACCAAUCAAUGAGUUUCUUGCGUAGCCGAUCUUGGAUGAUUUCAAAGUUCCCUUUGUGCAUUCUUCCUUCCGGGACCGGGAGACCCAAGUACUUUGGUUCAAAAACUUCUUGUGUAAUCUCCAGAACAGACUUAACCUCUUGCACCACACUUGGCAAGCAAUUAUCUGAGAUAAGGAUGGAGCACUUCGACGGGUUGAUUAAUUGUCCAGUCGCCGCCGUAUACUGUUCAACACACCUUUGACCAAACUAGCUUGCUGUUCUGAUGCGUUAAAAAAUAGAAGUGAAUCAUCCGCAAACAAAAGAUGUGAUAUAACCGGAGCACUUCUGCAUGUCUUGACCCCUUGUAAUCCUUCUUCUCUCAUUGAUUUGUUCAAAAGAAUAGAAAGGGCAUCAGCCACAAAGAGGAAGAGGAAGGGGGAUAAUGGAUCACCUUGGCGGAGCCCUCUCGAGGGGGAGAAGGGUUCCAACAAUUUCCCAUUGAAUUUCACCGAAUACUUCACUGAUGUACCGCAUGCCGUAACGUGGGAGAUCCAUUCAUCGGAGAAUCCCCACUUAGAAAGAGCCCUCUCCAUGAAGUUCCAAUCAACACGGUCGUAAGCCUUUGACAAAUCCAGUUUGUAAGCACAUAACGAUGGUGAAUUUGCUUUGGCGGUUUGGAUGUGAUGAAUGCACUCAAACGCGAUGAUGGAGUUGUCAGAAAUAAGCCUCCCGGGGAUGAAGGCACUUUGAUUUUCAUAAAUAAGCUCAGUUAAGAGAGGUCGAAGCCUAUUUACCAUGCAUUUUGACACGAUUUUAUACACCACAUUGCACAAACUAAUGGGCCGAAAAUUCUUUAGCUCUCUCGGGUGUGGCACUUUAGGAAUGAGCACAAUAGACGUGUCGUUAACACCAUCCGGCAUGAAACCAGUGGUGAAGAACUUCUACAUAGCUGUCACUAUCUCAUCCUUGAGAACAUCCCAAUUCCGUUGAUAAAACCUGGCCGGAAACCCAUCACAUCCCGGAGCUUUCAAUGGGCCGAUUUGAAACAACGCGUUGGAUAUCUCCUCCUCUGUAUAAUCUUGACACAAGGCCUCAUUCAUCUCCGGGGAGACUUUAGGGGCAAUACUAUCCAGCAACAUGUUCGGAUCCAAGGUCGGACCUUUAGUAAAGACCUCGUUGAAGUAUGAAUUGGCCAUCCGUUCCAUCUCCGAUGGCGCCACACACCAUGAACCAUCAGCUUUCAUUAGUCUCUGUGUAGAGGUUCGCCGCACCCGCCAAACUGCCCGGCGGUGUAAGUAUUUAGUUUUACAUUCCCCCUCUUUCAACCACGUAAUACGAGACCAUUGAAGCCACAACAUCUCUUCUCUAUACAACAGUUAAUCUAGUUCAUUCAUCUUUGCCCAGAUUUAUGCGCGGUCUGCACCUGACAGUUGGAGAUCAGCUAGCUGACCCCGCAACCUUUCAAUCUCUUUCGAAACAUUCCCAACGGUAGCUUGCUACCUCUUGAGCACUGCGUUGGUUUUCGUUGAAGAGGAAAGGGUGAUGCAGUAAAGUAGCGUAAGUAUUUCCCUUAGUUUUUGAGAACCAAGGUAUCAAUAUAGUAGGAGACCACGCUUGAGUCCCACGCACCUACACAUACAAAUAAGAACCUCGCAACCAACGCGAUAAAGGGGUUGUCAAUCCCUUCACGGUCACUUACGAGAGUGAGAUCUGAUAGAUAUGAUAAGAUAAUAUUUUUGGUAUUUUUAUGAUAAAGAGAAAUAAAGAUGCAAAGUAAAAUAAACGGCAAUAUAAAUAGCUAAGUGUUGGAAGAUUAAUAUGAUGGAAAAUAGACCCGGGGGCCAUAGGUUUCACUAGUGGCUUCUCUCAAGAUAGCAUAAAUAUUACGGUGGGUAAACGAAUUACUGUCGAGCAAUUGAUAGAAUUGAGCAUAGUUAUGAGAAUAUCUAGGUAUGAUCAUGUAUAUAGGCAUCACGUCCGUGACAAGUAGACCGAAACGAUUCUGCAUCCACUACUAUUACUCCACAAAUCGACCGCUAUCCAGCAUGCAUCUAGAGUAUUAAGUUCAUAAGAACAGAGUAAUGCUUUAAGUAAGAUGACAUGAUGUAGAGGGAUAAACUCAUGCAAUAUGAUAUAAACCCCAUAUUUUUAUCCUCGAUGGCAACAAUACAAUACGUGCCUUGCUGCCCCCGCUGUCACUGGGAAAGGACACCGCAAGAUUGAACCCAAAGCUAAGCACUUCUCCCAUUGCAAGAAAGAUCAAUCUAGUAGGCCAAACCAAACUGAUAAUUCAAAGAGACUUGCAAAGAUAACCAAUCAUACAUAAAAGAAUUCAGAGGAGAUUCAAAUAUUGUUCAUAGAUAAUCUUGAUCAGAAACCCAUAAUUCAUCGGAUCUCGAUAACCACACCGCAAAAGAAGAUUACAUCGAAUAGAUCUCCAAGAAGAUCGAGGAGAACUUUGUAUUGAGAUCCAAAGAGAGAGAAGAAGCCAUCUAGCUAAUAACUAUGGACCCGAAGGUAUGAGGUAAACUACUCACACAUCAUCGAAGAGGCUAUGCUGUUGAUAUAGAAGCCCUCCGUGAUCAACGCCCUCUCCCGCGGAGCGCCGGAAAAGGCCCCAAGAUGGGAUCUCACGGGUACAGAAGGUUGCGGCGGUGGAAAUAGGGUUUUUGCUCCGUAUCUUAUGUUUCCAGGGUAUAUGGGUAUAUAUAGGAGGAAGAAGUACGUCGGUGGAGCAACGAGGGGCCCACAAGGGUGGACGGCGCGCCCAGGGGGUAGGCGCGCCCCCCUGCCUCGUGCCUUCCUCGUUGAUUGCUUUACGUAGACUCCAAGUCCUGUGGAUCACGUUUGUUCGGAAAAUCACGUCCCGAAGGUUUCGUUCCGUUUGGACUCCGUUUGAUAUCUUUUCCUUUGAAACACUGAAAUAGGCAAAAGAACAACAAUUUGGGCUGGGCCUCCGGUUAAUAGGUUAGUCCCAAAAAUAAUAUAAAAGUGUAUAAUAAAGCCCAUUAAACAUCCAAAACAGAAUAUAAUAUAGCAUGGAACAAUAAAAAAUUAUAGAUACGUUGGAGACGUAUCAAGCAUCCCCAAGCUUAAUUCCUGCUCGUCCUCGAGUAGGUAAAUGAUAAAAACAGAAUUUUUGAUGUGGAAUGCUACUUAGCAUAAUUUUGAAUGUAAUUCUCUUAUUUGUGGUAUGAAUAUUCAGAUCCGAAAGAUUCAAGAUAAAAGUUUAAUAUGGACAUAAAAAUAAUAAUACUUCAAGCAUACUAACUAAGCAAUUUUGUCUUCUCAAAAUAUCAUGGCCAAAGAAAGUUAUCCCUACAAAAUCAUAUAGUCCGGCUAUGCUCUAUCUCAUACCUGGCCAAACGGGUCGGCCCGGCCCGGCCCAUCGUAAUCGUGCCUGGCCCAGCACGGCCCGCCAGGGCACGAUUACUAUACGGGCCAUGCCAUGCCGGCCCGCGUGCUGCGCCCCCAGUCCCAGGCAUGGCCUAGUUAGUAAACGGGCCGGCACGUUGGCUCGUUUAGCAUUGUGGGCCGCAUGUUUUUUCAGCCUGUUAUUUGAUGCACUGAGCGUUUUUAUCCUAUUUUUACAUCUUGGGCCAUAUAUCACUAGUAGAAAACUGGGCUUUGGUCACAGGGCAAUAUUCACAUUAGUCCCGGUUCAGUCACGAACCGGGACUAAUGUGAGCAUUGGUCCCGGUUCGUGCGGCCAGGGGCCUGCCGGGCCUCGUGGGGGCAUUGGUCCCGGUUCGUCCGGACCCUUUGGUCCCGGUUGGUGGGACAAACCGGGACCAAUGGGCCACGCUCCUGGCCCACCACCCUUUAGUCCCGGUUCCUACCACAAACCGGGACUAAAGGGCUGGUCCUAGUUGCGGCCAGUGUUUAGUCCCACCUCGCCAACCGAAGGGCGCUCACACUAGUUUAUAAGCCCGUCCCUCUCUGCCUUGUUGAGCUCCUCUUAAAGUGAAAAUAGAUGCCCUUAUACAGGGAAUUUGACCUAAAUUCACAGUAAAUUUCAUAGAAAUUUAUUGUGAAUUUAGGUUGAAUUUCCUCUAUAAGCGCAUUUAUGUUCAUUUUUUUAUAUUUAUAAAAUAAAUAAACCUUAAUAAAAUAAAUAAAAAUAAAUAAACCUUAAUAAAAUAAAAU
rnacentral:lncRNA from 1 species